rnacentral:rRNA from 1 species
AUGGAUAGACGUUGGAUUCAUGGUACAUUGUUUUCUCGUGAAUACAUAGAAGGUGUCAAAGAAUUUAUGCACCUUGUUCGAGAGAAAUUCAGCGAGGAUGAUAAAAUACUCUGCCCAGGUAGAAAAUGCCUUAAUCAUAAGUACCAGCAUCAGGCCGUUGCGAACAUGCACAUAUUGACGUAUGGCAUGGAAAGUACAUAUACUCGCUGGAUAUAUCAUGGAGAAGACUUUGAUUUAGAUGUUAUUGACCAUCCUGUGGAGUGCAUGACACCGAGGAUGGUGACAAUGGCGUUGACCGGUUUGAAGAGAUGUUUGAAGACCUACGCACAGCAGUAG